rnacentral:tRNA from 1 species
GCUAAAAUAGUUUAAGAAAAACAACAAUUUUGUAAAUUGUAAUUGAAUGGUUCUUUUAGUU